rnacentral:rRNA from 1 species
AUGUUAUUUGCCAAGGUAACUGCAACUGUGCACAUUAUUCCAUCUCAAUUUCCCUUGCCCGUGAAGACAUAUGGUUUCUGCAUGUUUCUCAGUGGCCGAGCUCACCACUCCUAUGAAUGUUUUGUUCCUGACAAAAUACAUCUGGAAUCGAUGGCUGAAUACACUGCUUUUGAGAAGGUGACAAUAUAUCUGUUCCUGCUUCAUAUGGUGUUGCUACCGAUGAUGACAAGCUUCAUUUUAGCAUUCCCUUGGAUCUUGAUGGCCCUCCUAUUCAUCGGCUUCGGUUUGGGGGCUAGCCGGAUUUUAUGGAGGGAAGAUAGUCAGCAACCUGGGCCUUGCUGGCUCCCAACCACUCCAGUCAAGGUAAUCUUGGAAACCAGUAAUGGCAGUGGUGCUCGCUAA